UUGUAAUGAGUCUGUAACUAUGGUGAUAUUAUGUCAUCACGUGCCACGUCAUCACUUGACAUUGGUAAGAUGGCGGAUGUAGUAUGUAGCGGUGUUGUGUGCAUACUGCACACUUCUGUACUGAUAGUUUGUACUUCUUUACCGGCCGAGUAGUGCGUACUUCAUCGUAUCUAGUACGUACUCUGUAAGUAUGCGAUUCCGGACGCAGCUAGACACUCCAAGUCUCCCGGAAGGUACGUGGCGGCUCCACAGGUGAGGGUCACUUCAGCCUGGUGAACGUGGUGUUAGGGACAGGAGAAGAACUUUGUGGAGAACAAUCUGCUAAAAGUUUCCAUGUGAUGGAUGAGUUGGAUGGAGGAUUUUCUUUAAUCUGACCAUCACAGCUACACCACAGAACUGAGGGAAAGAUGGAAAACAUUCUGUUCUAAAGUUCAGUUCUUUGGAGUCAUGAAAAAUGUCAUGAGGUCACCAGUGACUCUGGAUGAAGUGCAACAGUCCAUUGAGAUUUUGAACGGCCUUCCAGCACUCUUCCCAUCAGGAGUUGCACCACCACAGAAACUGGGACAGCCGAGUGAGGCUCUGUUUCAUCUUCUCAUGCCCUCUGAAAACGCUGCUGCUUUUCUUAGCAGAUGUCGUCUAUCAACCCCCUGCUUCUAACUGACCAGGAUAACUGCAUGAUCAGUGUUGGGAAGAACCCAGUGAGAACAUUCCCCAAAGACCUGCUGCACCAAGGUGUUCUGUACGUCAUGGUGUACUAUUAUGUGCUGCAAGUCAGGUCCAGAUUGAAGGACCCUUUUUAUUCUUAUUUUAUGUUUAAAGAUGGUAUAUGAAGACCAAGCAAUGUUGUUAAUGUUGUAUACAGAGGGACAUUGUUAUUGGAAAGCCUUGACAUCUAAGAUUUACGUGUUUUAAUAGAAUUCUCAGAAGCUGCCUGAACCUGCUUGUUGUGUAUUUGGAUAAAGCUGCCAUGAUGGCACACUUGUUAAAGUUAAUAAAAAUUGAUAGAUAAAAAUUCA